rnacentral:rRNA from 1 species
UUACGCUAAUACCGCAUAUUCUGUGAGCAGGAAAGCAGGGGAUCGCAAGACCUUGCGCUGAUUGAGCGGCCGAUAUCAGAUUAGCUAGUUGGUGAGGUAAAGGCUCACCAAGGCGACGAUCUGUAGCGGGUCUGAGAGGAUGAUCCGCCACACUGGAACUGAGACACGGUCCAGACUCCUACGGGAGGCAGCAGUGGGGAAUUUUGGACAAUGGGGGCAACCCUGAUCCAGCCAUGCCGCGUGAGUGAAGAAGGCCUUCGGGUUGUAAAGCUCUUUCGGCCGGGAAGAAAUCGCAUGGGCUAAUACCCUGUGCGGAUGACGGUACCGGCAUAAGAAGCACCGGCUAACUACGUGCCAGCAGCCGCGGUAAUACGUAGGGUGCGAGCGUUAAUCGGAAUUACUGGGCGUAAAGCGUGCGCAGGCGGUUUUUUAAGACAGGCGUGAAAUCCCCGGGCUCAACCUGGGAACUGCGCUUGUGACUGGAAGGCUAGAGUAUGGCAGAGGGGGGUGGAAUUCCACGUGUAGCAGUGAAAUGCGUAGAGAUGUGGAGGAACACCAAUGGCGAAAGGCAGCCCCCUGGGCCAAUACUGACGCUCAUGCACGAAAAGCGUGGGUAGCAAAACAGGAUUAGAUACCCUGGUAGUCCACGCCCCUAAACGAUGUCAACUAGGUGUUGGGGUGGGUAAAACCAUUUAGUACNCGGAGCUAACGCGUGAAGUUGACCGCCUGGGGAGUACGGCCGCAAGGUUAAAACUCAAAGGAAUUGACGGGGACCCGCACAAGCGGUGGAUGAUGUGGAUUAAUUCGAUGCAACGCGAAAAACCUUACCUACCCUUGACAUGUCCAGGAGCCUGAAGAGAUUUGGGUGUGCCCGAAAGGGAACUGGAACACAGGUGCUGCAUGGCUGUCGUCAGCUCGUGUCGUGAGAUGUUGGGUUAAGUCCCGCAACGAGCGCAACCCUUGUCGUUAAUUGCCAUCAUUUAGUUGGGCACUUUAACGAGACUGCCGGUGACAAACCGGAGGAAGGUGGGGAUGACGUCAAGUCCUCAUGGCCCUUAUGGGUAGGGCUUCACACGUCAUACAAUGGUCGGUACAAAGGGUUGCCAAGCCGCGAGGUGGAGCCAAUCCCAGAAAGCCGAUCGUAGUCCGGAUCGCAGGCUGCAACUCGCUUGCGUGAAGUCGG